UACGUAGGGUGCGAGCGUUGUCCGGAAUUAUUGGGCGUAAAGGGCUCGUAGGCGGUUUGUCGCGUCGGGAGUGAAAACGCCGUGCUUAACACGGUGCUUGCUUUCGAUACGGGCAGACUAGAGGCAUGCAGGGGAGAACGGAAUUCCUGGUGUAGCGGUGAAAUGCGCAGAUAUCAGGAGGAACACCGGUGGCGAAGGCGGUUCUCUGGGCAUGUCCUGACGCUGAGGAGCGAAAGUGUGGGGAGCGAACAGG
rnacentral:rRNA from 1 species